ACGGAGGAGUGCUGAGUUGAGCCAACUCGGAGCUGUUGUUUCCGAGAUGCUUUGUUGUUGCUGCUGUUGCGGUUGUUGUUGGUCGGUGAAGUGGUGAAGCGGAAGGUCUUGAGAGAGGUGGUUGUGAUGAAACGCCAUGUGUAUUUCGAUUACGAGUUCAUGGAGAGACAAAGACAGUGAAGGAAGGACUUGCGCAACAAAGAAAGCCAGAAAGGAAGAGAGACAGAGAGAGAGAAAGAAGAUGAGCGGAAGGAUUUUUGAGAGAGAUAGAGACGGGACGGCAGCGUUUUUCGGCAGGCGAAAGAAAAAACUACAACUAUGCAAGAGGAGGAAGCGGGAGCGGCAGCUUGAGGGAUACCAAGAAUAAUUAUUAUUAAAAACAUUAUUCAUCAUUUCUUAAUAAUUAUUUGUGUGGAUUAAGUGUGAUCCGACGGUUUAAGUUGACGUCGUUGCUUGGACUAUCAACCACAAGGCGCGUGUGGAACAAUCUGUUUUCUGGGUUGCCGUACAACUGGAGCAGAAGUUAUCUUAAAGUGUGAUAACAGUUGAAUAUGUGGGCGGGGGUAGAAUAAGACCGAAUAAAUUAUAAUCAGAAUUGCAAGCGGGCCAUCAAGAUAAAACCUACCCCGUCUAAACGUUAACUAAAUUUCUUAUUAAUAAAAUGAGAGUUUUGUUUUGUAAUAUGAUAAUUUUGAUAUAAAAUAGGUUAAAAUCAUUUUCACCUAA